UGGCAAGAAAGAGAUCGAGAGACGAUUCAAUUGAGGCAGAGUCAUUUUCUUUCUUCUUCUUUCGACCCCUUCUCAGUUUUCCAGUGGAGGCAGCAAGUCUAUUUUCCAUUACGAUUACGGAAAAAAGCUCUUCUUCACACGGCCAGAGGCCAUCUUCUCUUCUACCUCCAGCUACCCCUCCCCCUCCCCUCUACAUAAACACAGGAUUUGGAAACCCCUCUCUUCAUUCACACAGUCACCAUGGCUAACCACUGGUCACCACUCUUUGAUAAAGUGUUCUCUUGUAAUGAUUUGAGGAAUAGAGUCAUAAAACUAGUUUUUGGAGGCAAGAGUAUAGGGCUUUUGUUAGCUCCAUUCCCGAUUUCGACCGUCCCCUCCUUUUAAACUGAGCCUUAUUUUCAAAGGAGAGCGUCUGAUAAAGCCCAAUUUGUGCUCCACCUAGCAGAUGAAACUGGGUGAGGUCAUCAUUUUGAUCCAUCUGGGACUGGGGGCUAAGAGCCGGCUGCAGCUUAAUUUCAAGCAGGUUGUCAACCCAAGACAACCUGCUUGAAAUUAAGCUGUAGCCGCUCUUAGCCCCAGUAUCAGAUGGAUCUAAAUGAUGAUCACCUAGUUUCAUCUGCUGGCAGAGAGACAAAUCACCCAGGAUGAGAUUAGUUCCAAAGAAUUACACCUCCCGCAAAUGGAUGUGAGGCGCUUCUAUGACAUCUGUCCAAAAAGCCAUUAAUAAUGGCUCGCCGCCCAUUAUUAAUGGCCGGCGUUCAUGAGGCCAGAAGACGCUGAGCCUUCCCUUACGGUGUUUACAAUCUAAACGUCUCACCGGAAUAUGGCGCUGAGGAGGGACAGCUAAAACUGGAAGAGUGCAUCGUUUACAUCCAGCCGGCUGCAGCCUAAGUUGAAGCAGUUUGUCAACCCACCUGUAAUAGGCCUCAAUCCUGCGAUGAGGACUAAAAUCCAAGUCUUCGGGGAGGUGCAGCACAAAUUUGGGUUUAUCAUCUUUGCGAGAAAAGACCAACAGGCACUCUCGUAUUGAGACUCGGUUCAAAGGGAUCAUUGAAAACCCAUAUACUCUUGCCUCCAAGAAGUUGUUAUAACUCUUAUCGUCUUUAGCAGACAACACUCGGUGACCA